UUGUUCUUCAAAACACAUCCAAACGAAGUACCCACUUUAGGGUUACCGAUUGGUUGUUUAAUUAGCUGAAUUCAAUCAUAUGUAGAUGACAGAUUGAAACCCUGAUACAGAACAAAAGAAUCUAGGAGUUGAAGAAAACUGAAAAGGGGAAUUUGAUAAUUACUAUGGGAAUCAAAUCAGGAGGUUCGAGCAGCUGGUGGGAUAGGAUAGGUGUUUGUUUUCUCUUCCAGUCGUUGUCGUCUCCAUAAUUUCAAAAUUUAUAUCAUCUGUUCUGUAGUGGUAGUUGGAAAAGAUUAAUUUUUCUCUCUAGAAUUACUACAUCAUAUCGUGAUUUUCUUCAUCAAUGAAUGGUUUAAACACUUAAUCAACAUGUUCUUCAAUUU
rnacentral:lncRNA from 1 species